GCCAGCAUGGCAUAGUGGUUUGAGUGUUGGACUAUGACUCUGAAGAUCAGGUUUCGAUUCCUGGCUCAGCCA